AAACAGGCGGGUAGCGGUCCCCCGCGCCAUGCAUCUGAAUUGCUUUGACUACGCGGCCGGAUCCCGGGGCCCGCUGCUUUCCUGUUUUGUCGGUUCCGGGGAUCCAGGGAAGAUCUGCUUGCUCCCGGGAGAUGGACCAUUCGAAAUGCAAAAGAUGUCAGGAAAGCGAGAACCUGCAGGCCGAUUCUAAGAGGAGCGACAGUGUGUGCUGGCGACCAGGCAGACAGGAGAGACGCCGAAAGUCGGGGGUACACUACGCACUACGACUCCCACCGGAGAGCGAGAACGACGGCGCCCCCGCAGCGUUUUUUCCAGCGGUCAACGCCGCAUGGGUCAGCGAGCGCGCGCACACGGCAGCCGAUUCAGUCGCAUCUAUCUGUCCCUUUUUGCAGGAAGCGCGCCGGUUUGUUAGGGGCGCAAAGACAAACACGAGAAGCACUCAGGUAGAAGAGAGCGGCGAGGGGGGGAAGGAAAGGGGUAAACAGGAAAGCCCCAGAGGCGGCGGAAAAGGAAGUCCUGAGAUGAGCUCACCGGAUCAACGCCGAUGCACGGUCAAAGGGGGGGUAGCGAAAGGAGCGUUGCAGCAGGGGAAACACCGUUGAAGUCGCUUUUUCCUCUCUCCGCCACAAGCGCACGCGUUCUUGGUUCCCUUGUCCUCAAAAAGGCAGGAAAGCAUGUGGCUGGAGCUGUCUCGGUGCGAUACGGUGCGGGAGACGCCGCCAUUCCAAAAAUUGGAGCCUUCUAGGAAUGCAUCGCUACAAAAAAGGAGAUCUACGGGUGCACUGCAUGCAUCUCGGCGUUUACGAAGCCCUGCAGAGGAAACGUGCGUAGUGUAAGAAAGCUCGUUGGACCAGUUCGGUACUCAGCACUCCCUUUGUCAACCCCGUGCCAAGGCGCCCAUCUCUAUUAGAGACCGCAGCAACUCGAGCGCGGGGGGAGUAGGUUUCCAGCAAGGGUCAACGCGAAGAAGGGACCAACUGAGAAAGAAAUUCACAUCACCGGGAGUCCGAACAGUCGCCCGGAACACAGCCAGGACUCCCUGUAGGGAAACGCCACAAGCGCCACACUUCAGCUUUACGGUCCCGCGGCGUUGUCCACGCGCACGCAGGGAAACCGUCGAACCCAACCUGCGUGCAGAGUGCAGACAGGAGCUCUCAUCCUCCAAGGGAAAACUUUGUUUCCUCGGCUGCUCUUGCAAACGUGGGCUUCGAUCUGUUUCUAGAAUGACGAACGAGGCGUCUGUAAUCCCGAACAAGUGCUUGUUUGAGAUCGGUCGCCUCUGCGCAUGUGCGGACACACGAACGCCGCCAUGGUCAGAACAAGCUAAACGGAAACGUCUACGCCCAACGCCCUUUCACGCAGGUAGAGAGCUUAGAGAGAACGCUUCGUAUGUCCGGCGGCGUUGGGCGAGUUGGGGCACGGCUCAGAAUCCGCGAAAGCCGGGUACGAACAUGAGAACCGGGCGUCCGGGGCUGCCGUCGCCAGCUCCACAGAUAUUGGUGGAAGUCACUGCCUUAAAUCUCGGCAAGGCAUGGGAACACUCUUUUUGUGUACGUGGUGCCUGUCAGGUUGACUCGCGUGUGCAGAGACAGUGUCUACUUCUCAUGUGAUAAUAACACUACAUGGUCUAGCUAUGGUCUUUACGCUCUAUUUAAUGCCGGCUUUGUACGGUGGAUAUGGUAACUUCUUUGUACCCGUCUAUGGACCGUACGUCUUGAAAG
rnacentral:lncRNA from 1 species